UGCUGAGUCACAGCUUGCCCCAGUGAUGGAGCACCUGGUGGGAAGGCAGGGCCAGCCCAGGGCAGCUCAGGUGCAUGCAAUGACCAGAAGGGCUGGAGCCAGGAUCCACCCCUUCCCAGACCUCAUUUAAGAGUUGGCAGGGGAGAUGUGAGGGUUUCUCCCUGGAGAUCUCUGUGUACCUGAGGCUUUCUGAAGGCUGUUCUCUCCACCUCACUGCACAGAGAAAACACCCCAGAGUAUCCUGUUCAGAGCCACUUCCUUACCCUACAUCCCAGUGGAUGCAGCUUCUGAAAGGAAGCAGAGUCGGCAAGGAUGGAGUGCUUUUGGGAAUCAUUCCCAGCAUAUGGAGACUGCAGUCUGCAGCAAGCAAGGGCAGUUCCCUCAGCAAGUGGAAAAUGGGCUUCACCUCCCUGCGGUCUCCCUGUGGUUUGCUUCCCUUGCGAUAUUAUUUUUGAAUAGCAGGCAGGAGCUUGGUGUCUCUUGCUCUGUUCAGUACAUCCAAUAACCAAACCUGGCCCACUUCUGGGUGGUCCUCGCGAAAUUCCAGAAAACCACACAAAGGCCAUGUGAUUUAAUAGUCAUAAGAAACAGAGGAAUUGCUUUGACAGAUACCUCAGAAUCAGUUUUUCAAGAAAUGGGAUGUUUCAACCAAUAUGUCCAUUCCAUUUGUGUUUUUUCCCCUAUUUCUUUUUCUCUUUCUGUGCCCUUUGUUCUUCAUUCUGAUAAAUCAGCCUGGAAAAUGUAGAUCACUGAUGUGUUGAUGCUUGACGUGAUCUUAGGCUGGGAGAUGUUACACAAAACGCCUUCCACGUUAAAGAAUUCAGGUCCAAGUUGCUAGGAAGACUGGAUCACUUCAGGAUAAAGAAUAAGAUGGAAAGAUGCAAAGAGCCAGCCAUGAAAGCACAGACAUAAGAAUGAUUUCCUUUUGGUUUCCUGUGUACUUUGUGGGAAGAGCUAGCACUGAUUCCAGCGUCUGCACGUUGCCGGGCAGCUCACCUGCCCUCUACCAGCAGAUUGCCCUGGCACCAGCAGCUGCAAUCCCACCAAGGAGCCCAGCCCUCAAUUCCCCAGCUCUGUUUGCUGCCCUUCUGUCCCAGCUCCUGCAUCUUCCCUGUCCUCCAGAUCUGCUUUUCAGAUGUAUCAUCCAUAGGGGCUGAGCUGAGGGGUCAGCAACACUAAAGAGAGGGAAAUAACCCAAGUCCUUCUGAACCAAGCAGGACGUGGAACCAGCAGCAGAGGUUGCUUGCAAACCAACUCACCCUGCCCCCCAGUUCCUGGCAGAAGCAGGGCACCAGCCAGCUCAUUUCCCUAACCACGCUGAAGUCAGAAGGAAAAUAAUAAUUUUAUCUCAAUCUCCAGCAUAAUCCUUGCCAGCCAUUAAUGAUGUGAACUUAACUAACAUUUUUCCAUUCAAAACUUUUUACAAUUGUAUUGCAGAUAUACACAGUAAUUUCUGGAGAGGAUAGGAACCCAAGUCACUUCAGAAGGAGAGAACAGGCUGGCCAAAGACUCUGUAGUAAAUUCCUGUUCUGCUUGCAAUCAAAUUAAUAACCAUUUGGAGUAUAAAAGCUCUUCUUUCCUAAGGGCCUGAUCCAAAUCAUGUUACAUCAGAUGGACUUUUCUUUGUUCCAGUUGCUUGUACCUAAUUGAGCAUCUUUGCUCUUAUUUGUCACUGCUCUGAUGUAAUUAACUGUUGUCAGAUUAAAAAUACUGGUUUGAUUCAUGCUGACAUUAAUAUUAAUCAUUCUUGUCUCCUUUCAUAAACACAAACCCUAAAUCAAAUAUCACAAUUUUGCACAGCAAACACAGCCAAAAAUGUGAUAAAGGAGAAUUUCAUGAUCAGAAGUUGGCUGAUACGGGAACAAAGCAUGGCAACACAACCAAAGCAGAACAGUGUGAUUGAUUUUCCCCUUCCUUCACUUCCAGCUUCUGCAAUUCAUGCGAAAUCUGUCUUAAAACAAUGGGAUCCCAUGAAGGGACAGGAAGGAGGCAGCACUGACGGAGAUAGGCAUCCUCCUUUUCCUUCCGGCAUGGCUAUACAUCUGGAUAUUGCACUCCCUGGAUGCCAUGCCAUUUCCUUAUGAUACGGUAACCCACUUGCUAAGCUACACUUGCAGAGGUGCUGGGGUUUAAACAAGUGCACCCUGACCCUCCUGAAGCCUCCAUGCCAGUGUAACCUGGCAGGUUGCAAUCCUGCUGGCUUUCCUUUGCUGCAGAACUUUCUCACAGAACUGCCUCUGCUCUCCCAGCAAGAAAAUAACGUGGAAAAGACUGGUCUCUUUGUAUUCAACUAAUGAGGGAAGCGGACCAGGUGGGGACUCAGGAGAUCCGAGUUCUGUUCCCUGCACUGCCACAGGCUUCCUGUGUGACUGUAGCUUCCCACACAGCCUCUCAAUAUUCACCCAAACAGAAAGGAGAAAACAGAGCAAGCGUGAUUUCAUACAACAAGCCCAUGGUGCCAGAACACCGGUCAUCAAAGGAGCUGGCCCCCAGCUGUGGGGUGAGAGCAUCAGAGACACCAACACGCUGCUGCCUGCAUUUGGCUUUGUGCAAUUGGGGUCACAGCCUGACUGGAGCGCGGUGUCACGUCGUCCCUGCUUCUCUCCAGCUGGAAAACUCCACUGCAGUAUUCCUUCAAUGCUUUAGUGUCUGUUCCCUCACACUGCACAGGACAGAGUCUGUCAGGGUGCGGGGAAGCCGAGGACAAGCAGCGAUUGAAGGGGCAUCACCGUGAAGACAGAGAGAGGUUUGUGUAGCUGCAAAAGCAAAAGGUCAGAUCCUUUAUUUAAAAAGUCUGUAAACAAUUAAAGUGGGCCACGAACACAGGAGGUAUGAGUGCAGCCAUUAAUAUUUAGGGAGUGGAGGAAGGAAGACAGAGAGAUGAAAGCUGAACACCUUUCUGAACCUCAGCCAAGGCUUUAUCAGCCAUAUAACUAGGAGAACAUAUCCUGCUCAGCGAGACACGUAUUCACCCUGUUUUGUUACAUUCUGUUCUGUCCUCGGUCAUGAUGGAUCCUGCUGAGACUCGUGUUUAACAGCUCCUUCCUGGAGUGGCUCGAGCAACAACAAGAAAAAAAAUAUUGUGAAAGUCACACCCCAUUGAAACUGCAUCCUUAAGGGACCUGGCGAGUGCAGUAAUUACCAGAAUGCCUCUGAACACCAGGGCCACACUUGGCUCUGAGAGGGCUGUACGUAUUAAAAUGAAAAAGGACUCUAAGCAGACACAGGAAAAGUGGAAAUUGGGGACCAAAGUGUAGGCACAAGAGCUAUUCAUCAUUCCUGAUAAGGAGCCAUUAGGCUGCAUUUUGAUGGGAGCAGAACGCAGGGAAGCCUGCCUUUCUAAGCUUACAAAUGCGGUGUAAUCCCCAACUGUUUCAGAUAAUGGAAAACUGCAUUUGCUUGGUAACGCUUCCCUCCCGACUCUCCUACGCUGACCCUCUUCCAGGCCUCUCCGCUACUUUGUUUGCACCCUCUGGGUCUCCAGAUCCUGAUUCCCAUCCUCUGGGGCCAAUGCAGAAUGCCUCCGUACACAAGAUCAGAAUCCAGUCCCUUGCUGCUUCAGCCCGAACAAGAUUUCUGGCUUGCUUUAGCCGUUCGGAUGGCCUUGAAAUGCUUUGACUUGGCUGCACCAAAAAUGUAAACAGCAGCGCUGAGUACAACAAUUAACAUUGCAUCUCUGCAGAUGUUUGUUUCCCUUGAAGGAACUUGGAAUUUGAGUGGGGAAAAGCAGGGUAGGCAGCAAGAGAGGCUAAUGCAGUCUGGGGCAAACUUCCCAAGUGCAGUUUUAUAAACAGCUCAAGCUGCUCCCCUUCCUAUCAGUGAUGUCACUCCUAACCCUACAGCGGACUGCGGCAUUGCUAUCCAUCAUCUGCCAGCUGCUAUUCUUUCUCUGCUGUGUAGCAGGAGGCACAUGGUGUGUGAAGGCGGCUGGAGUCUUGAAGCACUUCAGCUUCAUGAGAAUGGAAGCCAAUAAGCUUCAGAUUUCCUGGAUUUUUCAUGCAAGUUAUCUCACCCAAGUCUCCAUAUAAUGCCAUCCAACAGUUGUAGGUUAUAAUUUCCAAACAGUGAGAUAACCUUCAUCGUCAAGUAAAGGGGAAAAUGCCAUUAGCAGAUAGAGAGGUGAUUUAACUCAAUCUAGCCAUUUGCUCACAAGUCUGAAUUUAUGUCAUCAGCUGUGAUGAAAUGAGUGUUUUCUUCGAUAGAUAUGGACAACUAACACAGUGCAGAACUCAGCAAUCUUCAAAGGACUCCGAGUUCUAAAUUCUCUGGCUAAAGUCAAACAUUUGUCUUUCUUAUCACUUGCACUCAAAGGAUGUGUUUUUGCAGUACUACACAGGGUUCAUUUGCCAACAGAAGAGGCCAAAAGGUGAGGUCCGAGAGCUGAGUGCUGCUUCACUUACACGACAGUGACCCAUCAGCUGCCCUGGAGUUCCUCUGGGUUUCCAGUGAAGGAUUUGACAGCGGGCCAUAACACCCUGCUAGCACAUUUCUUGUAUCACUAUUGCAAGCACUCUGCAGAUCUGGCACUUUCCAGCUGAGACAUUUCAGAGAGCUCCAAGCUGAGGUAAUCAAACAGCUCGCAAAGAGGCCACUGAACAAUGAGUAGCAGUAGGAUACGUACUCUGAUUCUCCUGUCUAAAAAUGUGUUAAGUUAGAGUAACACCAAACGCAGGGUUAUUCUGGGUCUGAACCUAUUUUCUCUGCAAAUCAUACACCUUUGGAACAGGAGAGCGGUAGGCUUUGGGAACAAGGUAUGUUCUGUAACAGGUCAUCUGCCUUUUCUCAUUCUCUUCUCAAAUGACAGCACCUUGGGUGCUCUUGUACUCUCCUUUAAACUGUUUUGCGCCAACUCUGUGUGAUUCCUUAGAGUGCUGCUCUCGUCUCUCAACAGGCCAUGAAAAUCAAAGAAAAUUGCAAUUGCUUUGGAAGCAGAUGCCUUGUGAAAAAUCCUCUGCCUGUUCAGCAGCGUGGUAGAUUCGUUCCUCAAGAAGUCAAAAGGUUUUAACUUAGUGAGGUCACACAGUCAGAAGUCGGCUAAUUGAAUACUCACCUAAGGGUCUCUUCAUAAGCCUGAUGUGAUUCUACCCACAGAACAGAGGAGUACCUUCAGGCAGAAUAGGAGGACAUCUCUCAUUAUUUGAAAACAGUGGUUUCACUGCCAUAUGCUGUUAGGAUUAUAUACAGCAAAUAUUUCUGCAUCAGUUUUUCUUUCCUGCAGCCUCCCCCAGGGCUCACAGCGAAACCACAAGAAGAAUGAUGGUGGACACCAGGCUGUUUCAGGCACAGGAAGGGCUGAAGGUGACUGACUGCUUUGCGCAAUGCACGACUACAAAUCCUGAGCUAGUGGUGUGCCACUUUUCUACAAAGAUAAACAAAACGUGCUUCUACUCUGUGUAAUUUUCCACAAUGCCCUGAACUCUGCAGGUGACAGCCUGGUCAACAGAACAGAGCCAGCUCUGUGUACACACACUGAUGAGAAUUUAAUACACAAUUGUGACAGAUGAGGAUAUUUUUCAAAGCUAUCUGUGUACUGGAGCAUUUGAAAUGUUUCUUACCUGAGGCAACCUGAUGAUAAUUACUCCUAUUCUUUGCAGCUGAAAACACCUCCAAAAUGAAGGCAAAGUUCCAGUUGAGCCUGAUGUACAAACACCAGCUCCACCUCUGAGGUAUGCAAAGAAUUCAAUGAACCUACUCAUGCGUUUUGUUGAACAAAGAUGAGUUAUUUGUCAUGUACACGGCUUUGGACAAUUGUGUCAUAUUUUUUUUUUCUAUACCUAGCCAAAGACCCACCUAAGCCUGUAAGCUUCACUAGGUUAGCAAGGUUAGGUCAUACCAGUGUCUGGGCAAUCUGGACAUUAAAGACAGCAACACAUUUUGUGUCACAACUAGCCAGCUUUGCCUUGGUGGCUCACAUGACUUGAGAGCUGGCUUAAAAUGCAUGGAUCAGCUGAGAACACCCAAGCAAGGCUGGCUAGAAGGAUUCAACCCAGGAGAAGCUGAAGAAAAGUGCCUCCAGCACAGCGUGUUUAGCCAUCACUAACACUUAUCAAGUGCAUGAUUUGAAAGAAAAUUAAAAGUAGCUGUAAUUCCAGUCUCUGCACUCCCUGUCUUCAAAGAGCUUCCAAAGGCAGCUUGAAUUCUUUACCCUUUUGUUAGCAUGCUCUGAGUGACAUCAGACGCCAUUUUUGGCACUGUCUGUUAUCAUCACAUCCCAGUAACAGCAGCCCACAGCCAGCCGCAGGUUGGAGGCAGCAGUUGGAAGGCAGCUGCAGCACGAUCUGACACACACCAGGGGAGUUUGCACAGCCCCAGUCGCAGCUCCACUGCACAGCGGAUGUCAGCCCUACACACUAACUAUAGACUUGCUGAAACAUUAUCAUACAUGAAGGACUAAUUAGGUGUGCUGGGCCAUUAGCCAUCUCUGAACAUUGACUGAUGAAAAACAUAAUUAAUGGCAGCUUUCAUAAACAGAAUCCAGAAUGUAGAAUUAAAUUAAAAGGAAAACAGCUGUUGCUAAUGGAAAUAAGGACCAUUUCUUGAUUAAAAUAUCUGCCUGUCUUUCUGUGGGAGUUUUUCCAGAACGGAGGGAUGGAAGAGCGUGAGGAGAUCUGGGAGCAGAGAAUCUGCAAAGCUUCCUGCUGAACAAAACACGGUUUCUAUAGCUAAUGAGUCACAAUGUUUUCUUUUUGGAGUUUUGGGUAUGAAAAGGAGCUAUACAAUUGCCUUGUUCAUCUCACUGCCAGUCUGAAUAGCAUUAUAAACCUUGGAGAUCAACCCUGACAUAAAAGAAUCCAGUUCAGCUUUAACAUGGGGUCGUAUUUCAAAUUACAUGAACCCACAGAUUUCAAAAGGCAGUCGCUAGGGCCCUAAGUACCAGUAUGGAGCCCUGAAUCCAGAACACAACACCUGCACAGAUCUCACUUAGGCACACGUAUCAAUUCUGACACCAAGCUGCAGUAAUGGAUACACAGCUGAGAGCAUCUAUCAGAGAUCUCCACCCAGAGAGAGCCAUGGCAGACUCAGUAGAGGUUUUCUGACAUAAAUGAAAGGGGCUGAAGGAUGUAAAGUGUCAGAUUCAAGAUUUUUCAGGUCAUGAGACUGUUCCUUCAUGCUGGGAUGACUCUGAUUCUCCCUGACAAUCAGUACUGCGGGAGGAACCGACAGGGCAGAAGAGAACACCCAGAUUUUAAUAUUUCUUAAGAACAGCAAGUCCUGUGACUGUGUGAUGUGCUCUCUUCAGUAUCUGACUCCUAACCUUGGGUGAGCUGCGAGAUAUGCAAAAAGAUUUCACCGUUUCAUUUCAUAAAAGCUUGCUUUCUCCUUGGUCAGCUAUUUCCCUCCCUGGUGAUCCCCCCAGCCCCUCGCUGGCAGGACAGUACCAGAAGCUGAAAUACUGAAUACAAAUCCUUGGCUCUGUGCAGCGCUGCUCAGCAACAGCUAAAACAUGGGUGUGUUAUCAGUGCUGCUUUUCUCCUAAAGCCAAAACAAAGCAUCAUACCCAACCGCUGAUGAGGAAAUGCAUGUUCCAUGCCACCUGUGCCUUGAGGAAAGAAGGCGUAUGAAAGGCUGAGUUCAGGCUGCAUUAUCAGAUCCAAAGUGGAAACUAAAGAGAGAGGAAGGUCUGAAAGAUGAGCCAGCCAGGAAUGCCUGUUGCUUUCACCUUUGAUCCACAUGGCACUUUGAUGUGGUAUUUCAAUCCUUCAGACAAGGUAACUUCUCCAGGUCUGCAGCUCAUGGCAAGGCAAUGGAUUUAAAUGAGGCACACGCUGUGCUCCUCUGCUCUCACUGCAGCACUGCCAGCCAGCAGCAGAACUCAGCCCCAGCUCCCUUCCAUCCCCAGUUUUUUCUCUGUCUGUGGAAUCUGGAAGGAAAUUCCCUCAAACAAAUACAAAAGCACUUGAUGUACAUUUAAUGGCAUUUCGGGGAAAGGAAGCAUGAAACCACACAAGUUAUCCAUCUCCAUAAAAUGGUUUUAUCAGUGGCCCAGAGUACAAUUCCAUAGCCUGAGGAGGUCCGAUCUUCCUUGGGAGAUAUAAAUGCAUGAGCUUAUGUGCAAAAUGGGUGCUGCUUAAGAGCCUAGAUAGAUAGAGAGCAUUUGGGAAAGAUCAGCAUGAAAUAUUUAUUUUUAAUGACGUGCACGCUGUUGCUCCUUUGAGGAAGGAUAAUAUGUGCACUGAAUGCUGCAGCACAUUCUUCAGAUGAUCUGGUGGCCUUGAUCUGCUGGUGAGGUGCGGGUUCGAGACAUUACAUAUAUCACGGACUCAGCCAAAGCUUUUCCUUAUUCUCUCUUGGGAUCUUUCCAUCUCCUUGUGCCAUGGUUUUCCCACCUGCAAAAUGAAAACUUAGUUCACGUCAGUGGGCGUCAUGUGGGCAAUGGGGUUGGAGCCCUGGCUCUGAGCUCCCUCAUGUUUGCCCCUCUCUACAGUCAACAUGCCAGUUGAGCCAGCAGGGUUUAUUUUUCUCCCAGAUGAUCUGCCUCUCCCUACACUCUUUUUAGCCAUUUACACCCAGACUGUCUUUGUCAGCAUGACAACAUGGAGAAGUUCAGGAGAAUCUUCAUUCUAUAACGUGAAUCACAGACUUCCCAAAGGGCUCCCAUUGACACAUGCUGAUCAGGAAACAACGUGGAUACACAGCCUUUCUCUUGAGAAUUCAGGCUGCGUGAUGAAGGGGCCCUGCAGAGUGGGAAAGGUGGUGGCACCGGGGCUGAUCCCUGCUCCUCCCCUGGGAGCAGCUGUCACAGCUCGGCAGCUAUUGCAGAAAUUACAACUCACAGGCACUGCGGCUGUGUUCAUCACAGUAAAUUAAACACCAGCACAAGGCAAUACAGCCUGCCGGGAACUACAGAGGUCGAGGAGCUGGCAGACAUUUGUGCCUCCCUCCCUUUCUGCUAUGAACACAGAGACUUACACCUUCUCUGCCCCAGGGAGAUUUGUCCAUCAGCAUCCUAAACAGCUCACUCGAGGUCAUGUGGGAGAGAUGUGCUGGAACAGAUAGUCACACAGCUGCUGAGUUUGGCCAGGCAGACACUCCCCAUGAAACCAACGACCCCCACUGGGAAGGAGCUGGCCCUGAGCGUGAGCCCCAGGCCCCUCAGUGCCCCUGAAGGCAGGCACCAGCAGGGCACCAUGUGAGCAGCUGGCAUGAGCCUUAUAGGAGCACUAUUUUGUAGCUGCCUUUGUAAAGCACUGAUGAAAAAUCUGUCACAAAGAAUAGAAAGAAAGAUAUUAGUCUAAACAAGCACCACUUCAAGUGCUCGUGAAGGAAACCCUAGAAAGGGAGCAGAGCUGGAGCUAUUCUUACUUGCUGUCUCAUGUGCAGGCUUUAAUUGCACAUUGUUCAUUAAUCCUUUCUUGGAUUGCUCUUCAGAGCAAACAGAUCUGUUUCAAGGCACUUCUGUUACAUAAACAAGCAGAAACCCUUCUGGAUGCAUAUGCGUACACACCCACCCAAGGGAAUAUUGUGGAUUUGUCUGAAAUUCUUAUUUCCCUGUUCAAGUCCUGUGCUAGAACAGGCAGAAAUUAGUAUUAAUACUUUUGCUGGGCUUUUUUUUUUUGAAGUUGGUUUUACAAAAUCUGCAUGGAAACCCAAAGAAAAUUGCCUGGUUUCUAGUAAGUUAGGAAUUGAGACACUCUCAUAUGUGGCAUUCAAGAGGAAAGGAUGCUUGCAUGACUGCUCCGAGAUGCAUGAGGCACCACACCAAGCUGUUGGUCAUCGCACAGUCCCUGAAGGACAAACAUUACUCCAUCCACUCUGCAAUCAUUUCAGUGCGCUGCUACCCUGUGUGCUUGCUCAACAGUUGGGCCAUGUGAAGGUUGGAUAUGUAAUUAUGGGUGUAAAAUUGUUAGCGCUCACUACACUGAUAUGAUUUUGCAGUUACUCUGUAGGCAGCAUCAUUCUGGCACUGGGGCCGUGAAGUUGGGAAGAAAUCGGGAGCAGAGCUGCAGGAGAGGGCAAACCCUCGUUGCCCUGAGUUUUGGCCUUAAUGCAGCCGCUGUCUGGCUUUGUAAGAGAGAAGUCAUUUGGAAACAGAAACGAAGCGAAGGCAGGCAGGUCAGUACAGAAAGGUGUUUGCAGGUCCUGGGCCACAAGUUUAGGAGGACCACACGCCAGCUCUGUCCCUCGUUCCACAGGAAAGCAGGCAGGCAGCGGUCCUGGGGGAGGAGGAAGGGAUACAGGGCAGUCCCUGCUGCAGGGAGGCAUUUCAAGCCAGGUCUGGAGCCAGACUGACUAUUGGCCAAAGUUGUCACUGAUACAGUAUUGCCAAAAGCAGCUCAGCAUUCUUCACCUCCCUUGAGCUUCACCAGGGGCCGAGCUGGCCGUGCCGUACUCAGCCCAGCUCUCCAGCUGCGACAGGGCCCGAUGGCAGCAGACGGAACGGCCUGGAAGGCACUUGCCAACCUGACACAUUUGAGUUCACGAACUGCAGAUGGUUCUGGCCCAUGUGCUAUAUUUUCCCAUUUCCCCAAACCCAAGCAAAGCAAGUCAAGCGUGCCUCACCACAGAGCCUGGGAGACCACGGGCAGGAAGGGAUCAAAUUUUCCAGCUUUGCCUCAAGCGUGUCACCACAUCAGCAGACAACUCCUGUGCCUAAUGCCAGUGUAUUGGGUGUCACCUCAUAUUUCACGUGAUACAACGCAGCUCAGUGAUGUCAGUCCCCUCUCCUGCCGGCUGACAGACUCUAGUACGCCCUAUAAAGCACAGCCAAGAGGCACUGGACUGUCUUUCCAGAGGUGCAAUCAGGACAGCAGUCGGGCCAUGCAGCCUUGCAGAUUACAGAGCCUCCCGUUGACAGCCUCCCAACCCAGC